rnacentral:rRNA from 1 species
GACGAACGCUGGCGGCGGGCUUAACACAUGCAAGUCGAACGGUAAGGCCCCAGCUUGCUGGGGUACACGAGUGGCGAACGGGUGAGUAACACGUGGGUGACCUGCCCCGCACUUCGGGAUAAGCCUGGGAAACUGGGUCUAAUACCGGAUAGGACCGCACCGUGAGGGUGUGGUGGAAAGUUUUUCGGUGUGGGAUGGGCGCGCGGCCUAUCAGCUUGUUGGUGGGGUAAUGGCCUACCAAGGCGGCGACGGGUAGCCGGCCUGAGAGGGUGGACGGCCACAUUGGGACUGAGAGACGGCACAGACUGCUAAGGGAGGCAGCAGUGGGGAAUAUUGCACCAUGGGCGGAAGCCUGAUGCAGCGACGCCGCGUGGGGGAUGACGGCCUUCGGGUUGUAAACUACUAUCACCAUCGACGAAGGUUUUCUGACGGUAGAUGGAGAAGAAGCAACGGCUAACUACGUG